rnacentral:rRNA from 1 species
UCAUACAAUGGUCGGACAAGAGGGUAGCCAAGCCGCGAGUGGAGCCAAUCUCACAAAACCGAUCGUAGUCCGGAUUGCACUCUGCAACUCGAGUGCGUGAAGUCGGAAUCGCUAGUAAUCGCAGGUCAGCAUACUGCGGUGAAUACGUUCCCGGGUCUUGUACACACCGCCCGUCACACCAUGGGAGUGGGGGAUACCAGAAGUAGGUAGGGUAACCGCAAGGAGCCCGCUUACCACGGUAUGCUUCAUGACUGGGGUGAAGUCGUAACAAGGUAGCCGUAGGGAA